GUUGUCACGGGGCCAGUGUCUACUUGUGGAUUCAGAAUGGCGCCCUGCACAUCACGCAUUCCAUUUGCUGGUAUUGUCUAUUGUUGUUACUUAAAGCGGGGAAAUGAAGUUUCCUUAAUAUGUGUGCAGAUGUGGAUACUCUUUGCUCAAGACUGUCAACUGGAGCACUAACUCAUUAGGGGCUGAAAGCGGUGAUGUUUGAGUGCUGCUGUCUUUGCUGCCCUACCUCUGAAAAGAGAGGCGUUGUCCUUGGCGGCUGCUGGGUAACCUGGAGGAACCACGUGACAGAUACACACAUCAUCACAUGACUCUGCCCAGGCCCCACAGUCACCCCUUUAUCUCAUUCUAGACUUGAGCUCUGCACUCAGGAGCCUGUUGUCUCUGGUGCCUGGGAGCUUCCACACUCCUGUGCUGGGCUCCCUUGGGGCUGAGAGCUACAGCCUCUGACUUGAGCCACCAGCCUGAUGCAUUUCCACACUUGCCGACAGCAAGGUCGAGUCCAGGCCAGGUCCCAUUCAAGGGGUAGGCCUCCAGGCGGUGGACCCCCAGUUAGGGCUCCUGUGGCAUAUGGAGGUUCCCAGGCUAGGGGUUGAAUCGGAGCUGUAGCUGCCAGCCUACGCCAGAGCCACAGCAACGCGGGAUCCGAGCCACGUCUGCAACCCACACCACAGCUCAUGGCAACGCCAGAUCAUUAACCCACUGAGCAAGGCAGGAGCAAACUGGCAAACUCAUGGUUCUUAGUUGGAUUCAUUAACCACUGAGCCACAAUGGGAACUCCUGUUAUUUUAUUUUUUAUUCUGCUUUUUAGGGCCGCACCCAUGGCACAUGGAGGUUCCCAGGCUAGAGGUCAAAUCAGAGCUACAGCUGCCGGCCUACACCACAGCCACAGCCACACCAGAUCCUUAACCCACUGAGCGAGGACAGGGAUCGAACCUACAUCCUCAUGGAUGCUAGUCAGAUAUGUUUCCGCUGAGCCACAACGGAAAUUCCCUUCUUUUUAGGUGUUUGCAAUAUACGUGUGUGUGUGUGUGUGUGUGUGUGUGUGUGUGUGUCGGUGUGUGUGUGUUUCCUUAGUGUAUUUUGAGGAUUUUUGAGCCUGUGUUUGUAAUCACUGUGUAGUUUUCUUCUUUGUGUUUGGCUUUGGGUCUGGGUACCACUGGCCUCCUGGGAUGAGUGGGGAGGUGAUCAGUGCCUGUCAUGCCCAUCAGGUCAAGAAUUUACAAGGUGCACUUCCAGUGCCUUCUUGUUUCUGUUCUUGAAAGUACCAGCCUUUGAUGUCUGAAGUGCCCUCUCUGUUGGCCAUAAAUGUGAGGAGUUCUCCAUGUCUCCAAAGGGCCCAGAGCUGGGCAGACACCUUCCCCUCGUGCUAUGUCCCUCAGUAAGUGACAUAGUGGAGACAGUGGUUUGGCGGAAGGGCUCCAGUUGUCUUUAAAGUUACCUAUCCUGCUGUGUGGGGGGGCUGAGUGGUUGUCCUUGGUCCCUGGGGUCAUAUAUCCACAGGGUUACAGGCAGCAGAAGGCAGCUCUGACUAAAUUGAGUCAGGUAAGGUUGUUGAAAGGCUGUGAAGUUGCAGAUAAGAGGGAAACUGAUCAUUCAGGUCUUGGAAAGAACGUGCAUUAGUCACCAUCUCUUCAGUCACCGUCUUUCUUGGGGUGAAUCUUUUCCGGCUGCUUUACGUGAGGUGUCAUUGGGCUCCAGACUUGGUGUCUGGAGCAGUGGGUAGGCCUGGCCUGAGGUGGGCACGUGCCUGCCCGGGGGGAGCCAGGCUCCCUUACCCAGUCUCACCCAGGAGAACAGAGGAGGCAGCAGUGCUAGAAAGAAGGGGACCAGGGGAAAAAUAUUGGCCGUAGAGGGUUUUGUCUAGUUGUGGUUUAUGCCUUUUAAAAACAAAAGCAAUUUGGAGUUCUCCUUUGAUGUAGCAAGUUAAGGACUCGGCGUUGCCACUGUAGCAGCUCAGGCGACUGUUGUGGCUCGGGUUGGAUCCCUCGCACAGGAACUUCCACAUGCCCUGGGCCCAGCCAAGAACCCCUUCCCCCUGCCAAAAGGUAAUUCAAGUCCAUUAACCCAAGUACCCAGUGCUCAGUCAAGUCUGCAGAGACAGCUGAGACAGAUUCCUUUCAAAGAAUUUCCAGGGUGUGGUUUUCUUUUUUUUGGUCUUUUUAGGGCCGUACCCUCAGCAUAUAGAGGUUCCCAAGCUAGGGGUUGAAUCAGAGCUACAGCUGCCGGCCUAUGCUACAGCCACAGCGGCAAAGGAUCCGAGCCACAUCUGUGACCUACACCACAGCUCACGGCAAUGCCGGAUCCUUAACCUGCUGAGCAAGGCCAGGGAUUGAACCUGCAUCCUCACAGAUCCUAGUUAGGUUGGUUAACCGCUGAACCACAAAGGAACUCCAGGGUGUGGUUUUCUAAGGGCAUUAAAGAGAGAGGCACAGAGACAGAAAGGGGAAGCCUCAGUGUGGUCCUGAGUCUGAGGAACGGAUGGGACUAGCAAGACUGUUCUGGUUCAUGUAGUAAAUGGUAUUUUAAGGGAUAAGUCCUCACUGAAAAGGACAAGUCCUCACGGAAAAGCCACCAACACCAGGGGGUGCUGGGCCGACCUACCGCUGAUAUAAUUCACUCCAGGAGGCCCUGGUAUCUGUGAGGUCCAGUCCACUGUGGUUGAGUCUAUGGGUGCAGGACCUGAGGAUACAGAGGCGAACUGUCCUGCCCUUUAAUGUGAGAGAUGCAAGCAUCUAUGGAAUGUGGUCUCCAUGGGGGUCCUGGACCCAGUCCCCUCAAGGGACAGACAGACUCUUCCCCCCACUGCCUCUCUGCAGAUCCAGCAUCACUUACAAGUUGCAGACCUGGGGAAGCUCUGCCUCAAGCAAGUGUGUCUGCACCAUUUUUCCAACUGCAUUUGUUCACUUCAUUUCUCUGUGUCACAUUUUGGUCAUUCUCACAAGAUGUCAAACUUUUUCAUAGUUAUUAUUCUGGUGAGCUGUCCUCAGGGAUUUUUGGUGUUUCUAUUGGAAAAAUAUUACUGCUCACUGAAGGCUCAGUUGAUGGUUAACAUUUUCUAGCAAUGAAGUGUUUUUAAAUUAUGUUAUCUCUUUAGACCUAACACACUUAAUAGGCAGUGUGACUAUGCACUGGAAAACCACAAAACUCACGUGACUUGUUUUCUUUUCUUUUUUUUUAGGGCUGCACCCAUGGCAUAUGGAGGUUCCCAGGCUAGGGAUCAAAUUGGAGCUGUAGUUGCCAGCCUACACCACAGCCAUAGCAAUACGAGAUCUGAGCCUCUUCUUUGACCUGUAUCACAGCUCACGGCAAUGCCGGAUCCCUAACCCACUGAGCAAGGCCAGGGAUGGAACCUGCAUCCCCAUGGAUGCUAGUCAGGUUCAUUUCUGCUGAGCCAUGAUGGGAACUCUGUAAAUCAGGUUUAAUGGGAGGGGACCUGGUCUCAGAGCAUCAGGAAUCACUCUGGUGCUGUUCAGCUGCUAAAUGGGAAGCUGCAUUAAGAGGUUCAGUUCAUGUGAGCUUCAUCCUCCCGCGAGAGAAAGGCCCAUGGCUUUUCCAGGCCUCAUCAAUGCAGCCUCGGGUUCCAAGAUUUCCUGUUUCUCUGCCCAGGUUCACUGGCUCAGUUAAGUCCUAUGAGGGGAGAAUUCUUCCCCUCCUAGGCUCACUGUCCUUAACUUUGGCUUCUUUUCUGGAUCAUGGCUCCAUGACUGAAGGACAUGGCCAGUGUUAACUAACUGUUUCUUAAACUCAGAGGGCUGACGAGGAUGGUGGCUGGCUUGUGGAAGGAUUAAGUGGGGGUCAUGGUGAUGGAGGCUCUGCUGGAGAUGGGGUCUGGCCUGAGCUUCCUGUGGCACAGGCUCAGGGCCCCAUGUCAGCCUGAAGGGCAGAGCUGAAGGGACCAGGAGCUCGCAGGGCCUCUUUCAGUAUGAAGGAGGGAGUUCCUGUUGUGGCUCAGUGGAAACGAAUCCAACUAGGAACCAGGAGGUUUCGGGUUUGAUCCUUCAUUUUGCUCAGUGGGUUAAGGAUCUGGCAUUGCCAUGAGCUGUGGUGUAGGUCGCAGAUGCGGCUCGGAUCCUGUGUUGCUGUGGCUGUGGUGUUGGCUGGCAGCUGCAGCUCCGAUUCAACCCCUUGCCUGGGAACCUCCAUGUGCCACAGGUGUGGCCCUAAAAAAAGACAAAAAAACAAACAAAGAACGCUCCCACUGCAGGCCAGUCUUCCAGGAGCUGCCACCGCGGGCUUGCUGGCUGGUCACUGUAGCUGGAGGCGGCCCUGGUCCCGUCGCUUGUCUGAAUAGGCGGAGGUCUCUGGAACAUGAGCAAGCCGGGGUUGGCCCCUUCCACUCCAGGGAGACCCUGAAUGACAGUGACACUGAAAGGGCUUCUCUCUGCUGCCAUUUCCUUGUCCCCAUAGCAUUGGAAGGUAGUCCUGGGAUCCAGCAGAAAGUCCCAAGACGGGGCUGCUCCAUUCCUGCAUGGCCACUUGUGACUUUGUGCUUGUCCUCUUGGGAAUGUCACAGUGCAUGGCUCCUCUGCUGCAGGCUUGUACCUUGAUUCCCAAGGAUGUCACCCUUUCCUUCAGUCCUUUGUUGCUGGAGGAAACCUACCUUCAUUUGCACUCAGGUCGACACUGUCAGAUGGGUGACAGAUGCAGGGACUUGAGGUCCUGUCUUUAGAGCUGGAGUUCACAGUGGAUUCAUUACCACUGAUUCUCCCGCCAAGUGUUUUCUGCAAAAAGCUUCUGGUUUCUGGAUGCCCAGGAGACUGUGCAGCCAAGAGUGCUGGGGGGAGCCAGAAUGACAGGUGCACCAGGUGAAGGCCAAGGUGCUGUGGGGGAGCGCCUGCCCCAGGGCCUGCAGCCUCAGCAUCACUCUUGAGCUGCCCCCCCCCCUCCCUGCUGAAUGAGCACCUCAGGGGAGCUCCCUGGUGGCCUAGUGGCUAGGACUUGGUGCUUUCACCACUGCAGCCUGGGUUCAAUCCCUAGUCUGGGAAUUGAGAUCCCACAUCAAGCCACUGCACCAUGC
ensembl:lncRNA